GCCAUGGGGUGCCUCCUGCCACAGGCCUUUGAGAACCACAGAGGAAGCUGGGAGGUCCGUCUGGGCGUCAGCGGAGCACCGGGACCAGAAAGGUGACCCCUGAGGCAUUGAACAGGAGCCCACAGAGGACUUCAGUGACAACAUGGAUGUGUGAAAACUCUUUCACACACAUGGAGCCAGGUGCUGGCUGUGUGGAGGAACCUGCAUGGGGCCAAGUGGUGUGAGUUGCAGACAGCGCCCUGGUGACCUUGACAAGCACAGCCACUACUGAGAACCAGGCAGGAAACUCUCUUUGUCGGUAAGAAGUCUACAUCUCGGUUCCUAUGAGGAUCUUCUGUUUGGGGGAGCAACACCAGCCACCAGGGGGACAUGGGGCUUCAGCCAGCUCUGCUCCAGGGAUCCAACAGUCAACAAAACCAGUGAGGUACCCAGAGGUCAGAAGCUGAAAACAGAUACCCACAGCCAGUUCUUCACAAACAAGAGGUUUUAUUUUUAUGCUGUACCCCCACCCUCUGCCAAAUAAGCGGGGAGAGCUCUGAAAGCCUGGCAUAGGGGAGCAAAGGAAGAAGGACCGAGGUGUCUGGGGAGUGCCCCACCUGGGCUAGACACCUCCCAGGGUUCUGCAGGAGGGAGUGAAUCCAGACCCACACUGCGCAGGGGAAUCUGUCCCUCUGUGGGCCCAAGGGCAGAAAGAAGACAUCCUAAGAGCUUUGCGAAAGUAUCUUUUCCUUGGUGGCCGGGCCUCACCUCACAGGCCUCAAUAAUUCCUGUCCUACCCUGUCAGGAUGGUCAGCUAUCAUCCAUCUCUCCAGCCAAAAGACCCAGCCCUAGUCGGCUCCUGGGAGAUGUUUCCAGACAAUAUUACAUUCUUAAGGACCCUGUCUCUUUUGAUUAACAAGACCUUUUAGUUUUCUUCUGAAUUCUAUAUAAAUAGCCAGAACAUGUGCCCCACUAAAGGCAAGGGUGGGGAAGGGUGUUCCCUGGUGCCCUGGUCUCUUGGGUCUGAACUUUGCCAGCAAGGUCACUAUUACCCCCAGAUGACUCUGGGUCUUGGCCAAACCAGCAAGUGUUCACUCAGAUCACAGCUCCCUUCCCAUUUAGGCUGUUCAGUAGCUUUCCGGUUGCUCUCCAGACACAACCUAAAAGGUUCAACGAGGCUGACCUCUCGGGUUCUGGCCUGGGCACUGAACCUUUGAGCAUGUGCCCGAAACCAGGGCCACUUCCCCCACUGAUAAUCUCAGGGUGGAUAACAUAGCCAGGACCAGACAGACUUUAACCCACUGUCCCAGGGAUGCAGUCCUCUAUACUGCAAGAAAGAAUGCUAAAAGGCAGACUUCUGGCUGACAAACUGGAAACCUGUCAGGAAUAUGUCCUUGCUGGUCAGAGAGACCAAGGAAGGACCUGGGGUUGGGAUCCAAAAGCCAUGCAGUGAGCUUACCAUCAUGCUGAUGCCUGCCACCCCAAAUAAAGACAGAGAGCAUGUUGUCCAGAAGCCAGAGAGCAAGGGGGUGGAUUGUCGGGUAGCAGAAGGCAUCUCUGAGUGCGGCUGCAGUGGGACCAUCAGUUUCCACAGCCUGUAAGACACCCCCUGACACCGGAGGGGUUGCCAGCCAUCUUCUUCCUUCUCUUUGACUGCGUAUCAGCAGCUGUUCCUUCAGCUCCCAGCACAGUCCUCAGACGUCAAGAUACACCCGUUGCAUGGCUAUCCAGUGUGAACAGCGCUCCCUGGGGUUAUGCAAGUCGAGGCCCUUGACUACGUUUCCUCAAGCAGGCCCCCAUGACCCUCUUGAAGCGUCCAAAUCCCUCUUGAAGCUACAGGACCCUUUUUGGAUGUUGGAGAGUAACUGGUCAGAUCUCUCCACCCCCUGCCCUCCAGACAAGAAGAUCUAUGAGGGCAGAGCAGAAGCUGUGCUCUCUGGUGGUUGAGUGUUUCACUUCUAUAUCUCCACUUGAUUGCCCAUGUUUGGCCACAGGGGAGAUACUCAGUAAAUGUUGAAUGAAUGAACACAUUCCCAUCCCUCCACUCCUGCCCCCGACCAUUGCAGGCCUGCCACCCACCCUGAGCUCCUGAAGCUCUGAGUCCAUUUGGGAGGCAUCAGUUAUCUCUAUGUUAUUAGCCCUUUUUCUCUCUUAGGAACAGUUGGUGCUGAAUCAUUUUGCCUGGAGAUAAAGACUCCCCAAGGCCACUUCCCUGCAUGUGGGACUUCCAGAAUGCCUGGGAGAAAUCGGCAGUCCUGCCUGCCCAGCUGCCACACGUGGACACAUCUUUUUACUGUUUGAGCUUUCCUUGAUGUUCAUUAUAACCCAAAUCCAGGAAACUAAAGCUGUGGGCUGAGUGAGGAUGAGCAGGGAAAGGGGGUCAGGGAGGCAGGCAUGCAGGGUAUAAUGGCCAGUGGGUAUGCUGCUGGUGAUGCAUGGCUGUGUCCCUGUCCCCGCACUUCCUCCCCAGAACCAAUGGCCCUCAGCUAGGAAUUCAGUAUUUCAUGAAUAUUGCUUCUGUAAACGGAAUCCUGUUUUUCCAUCCCCUUCUAUCAUCACACAUCAAAAUGAAUUCUCACAUAGAAAGGUUCUAUUCCUAAGAUAAAAUACAAAUCACAACAAUAAUGUAUCAAGUAUAUUUUAAUCAUAUCUUUGGAAAACUAGAUGUUUUUGAUAAAAAUUAAUUAAAAUCACUCCUUAUAUACACAUAGUACCAAAAUUUUAAGGUAUUGCUAAAUCCUGCUUUGGGAUGAGUGUCCCUUAUCUCAAGUGACAAGAAAAUAUUUUCUUUUAAAACCCGACAGUUGUAACUGUCUCUUCUUAAAUCUUUGAUCUCUUGUAGUUGUUUAUUAUAUAGUUCAGAUUCAGGAAGAUUAAGAACACCAACUUCUUUUAUAAAGAAGGCAAGCUUGUCUUGACCAUAAGGAUUGUUUCCAUGAUUCAUGAUUUUCCAGGUACUGACAUGAGGCUCUAUUUUGUCUAAUUCAGCAGAACUCAUAGGUGCUUAGAGAGGUCCCCAUGUUCUGUUGGUCACUGGGCCCAGGUAGCUCUUUUCCAACACAGAUCCCAGCCUAGUGGGCAAACCAGGUUUUAGCCUUGCCAAAGAGUCACUGUGACCCAGUGAUAACUUAAGGAUUUAUUGACACCGUUGUCCCAUCAUAUUUAUUUUGUAUGGUUUUUAGUUUAUUUUGUAGCCAGCUAUCUAAUCCCUUUUUAAUUUUUUUAAAAAACU